UUAAUGGAUACAAACUAUUGCCUUUGAAGUGGAUUAGUGGUGAGAUCCUGCUGUGUAGUACUGGCAACUAUGUCUAGUCACUUAUGAUGGAGCAGGAGAAUGUGCGAAAAUAGAACGUGUACCUGUAUGUGCAACUGGGUCACCAUGCUGUAUAGUAGGAAAAAAAAUUGUAUUGGGGAAAUAACUAUUUAAAAAAUAUUUUCAAGUAUUCUCAAGAAAUAUUGAGAAAUUCAAUCUUCUUAAGGAAUUUUCAUUUUAUCUAAGUUUCCCAAAGUUAUUUUAGUACAAGGUGAUUUACUAAACCACCAGUGAUUGUGAUGACCAGGUAAUUGAUGAUCUAUGUGUGACAAGAGCUAAUCAGGCACCUAAUUCUGCCAGGCACCAAAUGCUACGUAAAUUGUAAACUGCAUUGUUUGAUUCAAAACUGAGCUUGUAAGAACUGAACAUUUUCUGUUUCUUCACUGAUGAAAAAGAGUCAAUCUACAUGGAAAGCUAAUUUACUGUUAUUGUUAAAUCAUUUUUAUUGCCCAACAGCUUGUUGUGUUCAGUGGUCAAAAAACAAUGAAUAGUUGAUGAGUUCCUGUAAUUCAGAAACUGUUAAAUGUUGCUUUGGAAUGUAGUUCUUUAGCCUCCAUUCUAAAGUGAGUUAAAUGUCCUGGAAAUUCACAUUCCAAGUGAAAUGAGAUGUUGUGAAAGUUUUACUUGGGUGCUUAAGCUAGAGAGCUCUCUGACCUCCCUUUCCCUGUUUUUCAGGGUAGGUAAGUGUUUCUACAGUUUAAAGCAAGGAAUCUAACUGAAUUUUUACCCAUGAAGAUUUACUAUUUCAAGUAUAUUGGAAUCAGCAUCAUUUUAAGCGUUAAAAAGAAGAUAAAGAUCCCAUAGUUUGAGUCAAUUUAGCAAAUCUCAGUAGACCCAGUUUAUGGCUACAUAAUACCAGUACAUUUCAUAGACAAGAAUUCAGGUGCAUUUUCGUACAAGUUAAAAUCUCUUUUCGUGGAUGCCUUAUGUUAACCUCACGAAUAGGACCGCCCUUUCAUUCCAGUGAAAAGUAGGAAUGGUUUCUUGGCUUCUCCGGUUCUACUUUGAAAUUUUUUUUUCUCCUCUUUUUUCAAAAAUUUAGUUUUAUUAUUUUAUCCAGGAUGAUUAGGCUCAGGAGAAUUUAUUUACGGCGUCCUCUCCCAAACAUGUAAGCCAGACGGAGUGGGGGUGGAUUGGGGUCGGGGCGCGGGCCCGGGCAUUCCAACCCCAGGGCUCAACCUGAAUCAAGGCCUUGAGGAGCUGAAAGAAGGUACCUCUGACUGGGCCUCCUGGAGACGACCACCGGGUUCCCUUUCGCAGAGUUGCAGAUAGCAGGAAUUGUGAGGGAAGGUGGGGUAGAGUGCCCCCAGACUCACUCUUUGCUUGGAGACCCUCAGACGUUCAGGACUUCCCUCGUCGUCGCGUGUUGAUCUGUCUCUUGAUAGAACGCCGCCGUCUGUCUGUCCCAGGGCAGCGUCCCUCUCCAUUCCCACGAAUCCCAUCUUCCACUCCCUCUCUUGCCUUCCUCUCAUUUUUUUCUAUGCUGAGCAGUUGAAAGAUUGUUGAGUUAAAUUCAGAUGUGACUUCUCCAAAUUGAUAAUCAUCUAAGCAACAUAAAUGGCCAUCAGUUUGACUGAAAACUUUUUUUUAACUUGAAAUUACAUGCGCAGAAGAGCUUUUGUAGUUUGCAUUGGCCUCACGGGAAGUGAUGACGGUCGUUCUACCUGACCGAUAGUCUUGUUUUGAUUUGUUUUGACUCAAAAGCAAUUAAAAAAUAUAUAAUUGAUUAGGUUGAUGUCAGUGCCUUCCCUUGGGAAUUUUAUUACAUAACGGGAACGCCAUCUCAUACCACAGCAUGAGGGGUCCUGAUGAACAGUUUUAUAUGUAUCAUAUUUUAAGUUAUAAAUAUGCGUCUUGUUUUUAAGCUCUUGUACUACUUCACAGGCAGAGGUUCUUUUAAGGUAUUUUAUAGAUUAACUUAGCUUGGCUUCAAAGAAGUAAAAAGGCCUUUCAUUAAUAAAAUAUUCAAAUAAUUGAUACAUAGUAUUUUAGAAGAAACUAGCUCACAUCUGUAGGAAUUACCAUAUAUUUACUGAGUGGAGCUGUAAUUGUUGAUAUUAUUUAUCUGCAUAAACCUGAGAAGAGUCUUACUUUAAGAACUGUUAACUACCGACCAACCUGUGUCGCCAGAUGUUCAUCUGGGUGAUUGCUUUUGAGAGUCCUUCUAUAGGAAAUGAGGGGAAUUCAGUGUUUGCAUCGUCCCUUGAUGUCCCAGUCCUAAGAUGUGCUUAACUGCAUACUGAGGCAGAGAGACUCCUGCUUCUAGUCGGGGAACAAGAUUGUCACACAGAUAGAAGCAUAGGAAGCAGUCCAGGCUUAGCCGUUAACCUAACAGGUCAAUAACCUAGUCUUUAUCUUCAUGUGAAAACCAGGCACAAUAUUCAUGUUAAUAUGGUAGCUCAGACUUAAUUUUACUUUUCAGAGCACCUUACUAAAUAAUAGUAUUUAUAUAAACUGUGGCAUACCGCUGACACGAAAGAUCCCGAGCCUAACAGAGUAAGUAAAUGCUGAGAUGUUUAAGCGUUGGAAUAUCCACACGUCCGUAUUGCCCCCUCAGCAUCGUUAUCCAUUCCCGUUCUGCAUACUGCCUGGUCAUUUGAUAAAGUGCUCAGAAAGCUCGAGUCUGGAUUUGGAUCUUGGUGCUGACUUUUCUAGUCUACAUUUCUACCUGCAUCUUCAAACUGCAGACCCUGAAAUACUAGUCAACACAUGCUGGUUCAAUACCUGCUCUGUGCCAGACACUGUUCUAGGCACUGGAGGUGUUUCUGGCAGUGUGUGAGUAGGCUUAGCCACUUAAGUUUCGGGGUAUAUUGCUGUUAGUUUUAAUUUUGAACUAGAGCGUCUUUCCAUAUGCAUUCUUUCGCUGCUACGGUCAGUUAGUUUAACUGUAAGAGGUGAUAAAUUCUUAGAUGUAUGUGUUUCUAGACUUACCCUGACAGUUGGCACAUUCUCCCCUUCCCCCACAUAAAAGGGUGAUUAGGUUCCCUCCAGGAAGGUUUUAAAAUCUCAUUUUGUAGCCCAAAGCCCCUUUCAGACUUCACCAUAAAUUAUAAACUGAAUGCUUUCCGGGGCCAGCCAGUAUCGUAAAUGUAUGAAGCAGGCCAGGGUGAGUAAUUGAGAUAGGUAGAGUAUGUGUUCCUGCCUAGCCAUAAACAUUUUAAAAUAUUUUUUUUUAACUGUGUCAAAUACAUCUGCAGGCCAUGAGUUUUCAACAUUCUGGAAUCUGGAGAGACGUAAAUUCCACUGACUUUGAAAUAUGAAAUUGAGGAGUUCCCGUCGUGGCGCAGUGGUUAAUGAAUCCGACUAGGAACCAUGAGGUUGCGGGUUCAGUCCCUGCCCUUGCUUAGUGGGUUAAGGAUCCGGCAUUGCCGUGAGCUGUGGUGUAGAUCACAGACACGGCUCGGAUCCCGCAUUGCUGUGGCUCUGGCUUAGGCUGGGGGCUACAGCUCGGAUUUGACCCCUAGCCUGGGAACCUCCAUAUGCUGUGGGAACGGCCCAAGAAAUGGCAAAAAA
rnacentral:lncRNA from 1 species